rnacentral:rRNA from 1 species
AUUGUACGCUGGCGGCAUGCCUUACACAUGCAAGUCGAGCGGUAACAGGUUAAGCUGACGAGUGGCGAACGGGUGAGUAAUGUAUCGGAACGUGCCCAGUCGUGGGGGAUAACUGCUCGAAAGAGCAGCUAAUACCGCAUACGACCUGAGGGUGAAAGCGGGGGAUCGCAAGACCUCGCGCGAUUGGAGCGGCCGAUAUCAGAUUAGGUAGUUGGUGAGGUAAAGGCUCACCAAGCCGACGAUCUGUAGCUGGUCUGAGAGGACGACCAGCCACACUGGGACUGAGACACGGCCCAGACUCCUACGGGAGGCAGCAGUGGGGAAUUUUGGACAAUGGGCGCAAGCCUGAUCCAGCCAUGCCGCGUGCGGGAAGAAGGCCUUCGGGUUGUAAACCGCUUUUGUCAGGGAAGAAAAGGUUCUGGCUAAUACCUGGGACUCAUGACGGUACCUGAAGAAUAAGCACCGGCUAACUACGUG